AAGUCGUAACAAGGUAUCCGUAGGUGAACCUGCGGAUGGAUCAUUAUCACGUUAUCCACGUAUCAACCAUUGUGAACUGUUGUGUAUAUUGUUGUUGUUGGAUUGUUUUAUUACAAUUCAACUUUAAUAAUAUAUAUUUUAUUAUUAACUAUUUAAACAAUUUUUAAAUAAUUAAUUUUUUGAACUGAAACAUUUCUUACUCUUCGGAGAAGAAAUAAAAAAUUACGAAACAUAAGAACAACUCUUAGCAACGGAUAUCUUGGUUCUC
rnacentral:misc_RNA from 1 species